CAGUAGCCGCGGUAAUACGUAGGGGGCAAGCGUUGUCCGGAAUCAUUGGGCGUAAAGGGCGUGUAGGUGGCCCGGUAAGUUCGCUGUGAAAGUCCAGGGCUCAACCCUGGAAUGCCGGUCGAAACUGUCGAGCUAGAGUACGGAAGAGGCGAGUGGAAUUCCUGGUGUAGCGGUGAAAUGCGCAGACAUCAGGAGGAACACCAAUGGCGAAGGCAGCUCACUGGGACAGUACUGACACUGAGACGCGAAAGCGUGGGGAGCAAACAGGAUUAGAGACCCCCGUAGUCCCUGUCUCUUAUAC
rnacentral:rRNA from 1 species